rnacentral:lncRNA from 1 species
CCACCCACUCACACCUUCAGCUCCCUCUCUGUUGGCGAUUUCGGGCCGCUUGUUGCCGCUAUCGGAUUUCAUCACCGGCCACGCGGCGACGCCCUCCUGUCUCUCUCAUCUACCAGCCCCCUAUUCUCUCAUUUCUCUCGUCACCGCUGCUUCGGUGGAACCACGACAGAAAUGGCCAGAUCUGACUGGCUAAACUAAUGCCAGUGUGCCACUGCCUCAUAAUUAAAAUUCUCUCUUAUUAGCCAGAAGAAGCAGACCUGGCGGGGGUUUUACUUUUUUAGGCAGCCUCCAUGUUUCGCCCUUCCUGACUGGAUGGAAAUGGAGCUUUGCCAGCGACUUUUCUUAGGUUUAUGAUGUCUUUCCAGCAUUCACCGUGGAAGCGACGUCCAUAGAGGCAAAAAUCCGCUGGAAUUUUCGGAUCUGGCCUAAGUGUGUCAACUACGGCGACUCCCUUUAUUCUCGUUCUUUUUACUGAUUUUUGGGGGUUUUGAUAUUAUAAAUUAGAUCUGAAAAUGGUUGUUUUAUUUGGCCGGAUUUUGUAUUACAGUACUUUUGCUGCUGCAUUUAAUUUGAAUGGUUUUAUUUGGAUGUUAGCUCCAGGUUCUCGUCAGAGCUGUUGGCUGGCAAAAAAUAUUCCCGGCGAUUCCGUUCAUUUUGACCACUGUCCAGUUGCUUAACCCUUCACUGUUGUUGCUAUUCCGAUAAGGGAAAUUUAGACACUUGGGGCUGCUUGACCACUGUCCAGUUGCUUAACCCUUUAAGACCUUAGUUGUUUACUGUUGAAAUAAGUAUUUGUUAUGAACUUGCGCUACCUGCAGCUUCGAUUUCCAGUGAUUUGUGCUACAUUGUUGUGUCUAUUAACACUGUCUUUGCUAGAUGUAGUGCUGGACAUAUAAUUAAUUUGAUUAGGUAUAUUCGCGGAGGCCGAUGUGAAUGAGGUCACGGCACCUCGAAAUGACCCUCCGGACUUGGCCCGAAAUAACGAGACGAUGAUGAUAAACAUCGGAAAAGAAGAAGACAGAGAACGCGACGAACCAACAACAUUUGGAGGGCGACACUUCGGGCGUUUUCCAAAAACCAUUUUCGGGCGUUUUCCAAAAACCAUUUUCUAAAAGAAAUAUUCUUAAACCAUUUUCAAAAACGAUCCUCCAAAAAACGUUUUCAAAUAAAAGUGAUUUCAAAUUAUAUUAAUUUGUUUACUUUGUAUUAUUUUACUAACACAUUUUCCUCUAUCUUUCCGAGGUACCUUACUUGAAGCAUUUUGAAGAAUAAAACUCGGAGAAAAAUACAUAUCCCCGACUCGCCCCGCUUCGCACUUUCUGUUCUAGGAUGUAUUCAAAAUCGCAAGUAUAGUUGUAACGACCCGAUCGAUCAUUUUGAGAAUUUGCACUUCACUUGAUGGUUAAAAAGCAUGAAUAGCUCCAUAUGAUGUAUUACGACUCGCAUGUAUUGUCGGUUUCGAUUUUCACUUGUUUCGGAAUUAGUUGGAAGAAUGAAUUUCAUGAUUGAAACUUAAGGAAGAAUUGACCAAGUUUGACUUUUGUGCAUUUGAUCCUGGAGUGGAAUUUUAAUGGUUCUAUUAGGUCUAGAUUGUGAUUUUUGACUUGGGUGUAUGACCAGAUAAUCAUUUGGAUAUUUCUAGAAGCUUUCCGCACUAAUUGGCGAAAGUUAGAUAUUUGAAGGUUUGGAAUGUUGAUAAGUUUGACCAAGAGUUGACUUUGGAAUAUCAUUGAGGACUUGUGUACAAAAAUUGAGUUUAUUCCAGGAUGAUUUGAUAUGGUUCGACACGAGUUUUAAAAGUUGAAAAAUUCAAAGUUCAUUAAGUUUGAUUUGAGGUACGAUUCAUGAUUUUGAUGUUGUUAGGUGUGAUUUGACGCCUCAAAUAGGUCUGUGUUAUGUUACGCGACUUGUUGAUAUAUUCGGACAGGGUCCCGAGUGGCUCGGGUGAGUUUUAAACAAGUUUGGGCAUUUCGGCACGUUGAUUAUGUUCUGGAGCAAUUGAAAUGUGGCAGGUAUAUUUUGGAGUGCUCAGGCUUAUCUGCGAACGUAAACUCCCAGAGUGCGGAGGCAGUAAAAAAUAUGCGGACCACAGUGGAAAAUGUGCUGAUCGUAGUGGUAAAAGUGCGGACCGCAUCACGGGGAAAUCCACAAGUUUGAUGGUGUGAUUUCGGAAGCUUAUAUCUUUUAAUCUGUUAGGAAUUUGGGAUAAUAAAAAAAGACUGUUGUAGCCAUUUGAGUCUAGUUUUUAGAACAUCAAACGGUUUAUCAUUUGGACCUUUGUACUGAUAGUUAUGAUCAAUUUACUGAAGACUGGUAGUGUAGUUGCUGCUGAAGUGCGACCGCACAAUUUGGAUAGUGGCUGCGAAACUUGGAAGUGUGGACCACUUAAAAAAAGUGCAGUCAGCACUUUGGGAUAUCAGAUGUGGUACCGUAAACAUGAGGGUUUCAA